UAUUGGAAAAAAAUUUAUUGGUGACAGUACAACACAUAUACAGUUAAACAUAAAAACCUGUUAUUUUUAUGUUUAAUAAUUUUUUUCUUAUAAUAACACUUCUAAUACAUAAUACACAACAUACCUACUACUUACACUAUUGAUAACAGUUUAUUAUAAACUGAGAAUUGAAUUGAAAGUUAUUAAAUAUUCACAUUAAUUUGGCAGCAUAAAAAUAAAUUUAGAAUUAAAGGAAUAGAUUCUAGAUAUUUAGUUUUUGUCUUUGUCAUUAGUAUGGAAUUACGUAACAGAGAGAGCCCUAUACUAACUUGUCUCCGGAAAUUGAGUACCUAUAGCUUAUGGCUAUUGUAUAUCUGUGACGGCUCUUGGUGCGCCCUGAUCAGCUUUACAACACAUCUAUAUAUUAUGAAAAAUUUGAAGUAUGUCAAAAUUCCUUGUAUCGAGACUGUUUGUUGUUAUUGUAAGUACCUAUACAGUAUAAUCAGAGAUUAGAUAAAUGUAGGCCGAUAGUAUAUUAUAUACCUAAUAUAAUUAACUAGCUAAUGUCCGGCACGCCACUGUGUCACUUCGUAUGAACGACUCUAUGUCAGAAACUUUCCUGCAAGUUCAAACAAAAACUGUACAAAUUUUCAUCGCGAUCGAAUGAACUGUAUUAGAACGCGGGACAAACAAAAUAAAGCUACGUUCUAUUAAAAAGAGUGUACCUAAUGUGUUUUGUUUUAGUGGUCUAAAACCAUCUUUGCAUUAUUGCCUUUCUAAUGAAUGUUGGAUGGUUUCACAGUCUAUAACGGACAUAGGUAAAAACAAUUUUUGUCUUUUAUACAUAUAAUAUUAGGAUUAUAGUAUAUAGACAAAACUAUCUCAUCGUCAUCUCAUCCCACGGUUGAUCCACUACAGAGAAUGGGCCUCUUUUCAGAAUGAGAAGGGUUAGGUUGUAGUCCACCUCGUUGCCCAAGUGCGGAUUGGCAGACUUCACACACCGCCGAGAACACUGGAGGCCUAAGACUAGAAAUAUUACUAAGACUAGGUACACAUAAAAUUAAAAAUAAAUCAGACCAACAGAAUUCUUAAUAGGUAUAGAAAUGGUACGUCUCUCGCUGUCUAAAUGUUUAAUGAAGCAUCAGCAGGUUGGUCCCACUUGGUCACAUGACCCGAGAUAUAUGCCUUAUUUACCUACAUAAUUUAGAUUAGAUUUUGAUUUGUAUGUUUUAAAUAAUUACUGAAAUGCCUAUCUACGUGGUCUGUGAGUAGCUUAAAACCACCGACACGCACGGUAUUACCAAAAAAGCAGAUACCAUUUCUAUUAUAGUAUUUAGAAUUCUAUGUUCAGCCCAGUGGAAAUGGAUUCAUAAAUGAAUCAAGUUAAUUUAAGGCACUUUUCAAAUAGUAAAUCUAUAUUUCUUAUUGACUACCCAAAGACUUUUAAGCUGUAAUACCGAUCGCUAUCUACGAGUACCAACACCGGCGAAACAUCAUAGUAAUAUAGUUUUGAUUCGAUUUACAACACUUUUUGUUCCAGUGCUUUCAAGACAGCUUUAAGUAAUAUUUUUUCUUUAAGUUUGAGUAAAAAAUCUUCACCUAAAUAUUGACAAAGAUGGGGUUCACUUCAGUUUUUCUUAGUUUGCUUAAAAGAUCGCAGUAACCUCCUCGUAGAAACGCGUAAAGGACGCGAUACUCCCGGCGCUUUAGACCUUCUGGAGCUAGUAUUGUAAUUUCGCGGUAACAAGUCAUAUGGAUAGCGUACAGUGCGCCAUUUCAGACAAAAGCUACUUGUUUUCCUUUUAAGCAAAGUAAGCAGAAGUAAAGUUAACAUUACACUAUUAUAGCAACUAUUUAUGACUAAAUAAUAUCCCACAGUAUGCGGAAAAAACGAGAUUAACAUGAUAUGCGUAAGACUAAGGCCUGAGUGGGGCAUUCAAGGACGUGUAGCGUGUGUUUAGCCAGAGACUCAGACAAAGAAUCAAGGUGGACUUGUCAGACGCGUAUACCCGAAAGGACAAAACAACAAAACAAACCAUACUUACGAAUAAAAGGUUAUGUUUUUCAUUUGCGCUCGCUACAACUCUUACAGCUAUCACGUAGCAAUGCACAUAAUAUAACUUUCUAAACACCUUCAACACUAAAUUUAAAACAGAAAACCAAAUAAGGACUCGUAAUAUUCACAAUAAAUUAAUAUCACAGAAGCUUGUUGGGCACGGAUGACAACUGUGCCCAGCAAAAAGCUAAAUUAUGACAAAGACAAAAAAUGGUUUUCACUCUUCAGAGCUUUCCCAUACACUUAGCUUGCUCUAACAAAGUUAUUUCGAUGUCGAGUCCAUCUUGAUCCUUUGUCUGAGGCAAAAGAGUUUUUAGGGUUUGGAUCUGGAUGGUACUGCCAUUUAGGACGCUUAAACGUUAAGAGCCGAGAACGCUGCAUGUCUCGAUGCGCCUGACCCUCGCAUGGGCACUUAGGCCUUACAUUUAAAGUUCGCACAAAACACUUGUUCUUCAACCUGGUAAACAACCCUCUAUUCCAGAGUCGUUCCAGUG